AAGGUGUUGAAACUUUGUUUAAACAAACUGACUUUUAAUCAGUAGGUCCAGGGUUCGAAUCCCUGACAGCUCACCA
rnacentral:tRNA from 1 species